rnacentral:rRNA from 1 species
UCGAGGAUCUUCGGCAAUGCGCGCAAGCGCGACCGAGCGACGCCGCGUGGGCGACGAAGGCCUUCGGGUUGUAAAGCCCUGUCGAGGGGGAGGAAAGCCCGAAAGGGUUUGACCCAUCCCUGGAGGAAGCUCGGGCUAAGUUCGUGCCAGCAGCCGCGGUAAGACGAACCGAGCGAACGUUGUUCGGAAUCACUGGGCUUAAAGGGCGCGUAGGCGGGCUGGACAGUCCGGGGUGAAAUCCCCCCGCUCAACGGGGGAACGGCCUCGGAUACUUUCGGCCUGGAGGGGGGUAGGGGCGGGCGGAACUGUGGGUGGAGCGGUGAAAUGCGUUGAGAUCCACAGGAACUCCGGUGGCGAAGGCGGCCCGCUGGACCCUUACUGACGCUGAGGCGCGAAAGCCAGGGGAGCGAACG